rnacentral:rRNA from 1 species
AACACGCUGGCGGCGUGCCUAACACAUGCAAGUCGCACGAGAAAGUGGAGCAAUCCAUGAAGUAAAGUGGCGCACGGGUGAGUAACACGUGAAUGAUCUACCUCCGAGUGGGGAAUAACCUAGAGAAAUCUGGGCUAAUACCGCAUAACACUUACGAGUCAAAGCAGCAAUGCGCUUGGAGAGGAGUUCGCGGCCGAUUAGUUAGUUGGCGGGGUAAUGGCCCACCAAGACGAUGAUCGGUAUCCGGCCUGAGAGGGCGCACGGACACACUGGAACUGAAACACGGUCCAGACUCCUACGGGAGGCAGCAGUGGGGAAUUUUGCGCAAUGGGGGAAACCCUGACGCAGCAACGCCGCGUGGAGGAUGAAAUCCCUUGGGAUGUAAACUCCUUUCGAUCGGGACGAUUAUGACGGUACCGGAAGAAGAAGCCCCGGCUAACUUCGUGCCAGCAGCCGCGGUAAUACGAGGGGGGCAAGCGUUGUUCGGAAUUAUUGGGCGUAAAGGGCGCGUAGCGGUUUGACAAGUCUGAUGUGAAAUCUCUGGGCUCAACUCAGAGUCUGCAUUA